rnacentral:rRNA from 1 species
GACGAACGCUGGCGGCGUGCUUAACACAUGCAAGUCGAACGGAAAGGCCCUGCUUUUGUUGGUUGCUCGAGUGGCGCACGGGUGAGUAACACGUGUGUAUCCUGCCCUUGUCUUUGGGAUAACUUCUGGAAACUGGGGCUCAUACCGGAUAGGAGCUCCUGCUGCAUGUUGUGGGUUGGAAAGUUUCGGCGGUUGGGGAUGGACUCGCGGGUUAUCAGCUUGUUGGUGGGGUAGUGGCUUACCAAGGGUUUGACGGAUAGCCGGCCUGAGAGGGUGACCGGCGACAUUGGGACUGAGAGACGGACCAGAAUCGUACGGGAGGCAGCAGUGGGAAAUAUUGCACAGUGGGCGGAAGCCUGAGGCAGAAACGCCGCGUGCGUGAUGACGGCCUUCGGGGUGUAAACAGCUGUGGAAGGUGACGAAGAGUGAGUGACGGUAAUGGGUAAGGAAGCAACGGCUAACUACGUG